rnacentral:lncRNA from 1 species
GUGCUGUGGUGAGCAAAUGAUGAAACAUAAUUUACAACCUUAAGGUGUUGCGAUCCAAGUAAAAACUCCAAAUUUAUAUAAUUCUUGUCACAAACUGGCUUAUGACGCGGCAGUACUGCUAACAGAAGCAGAAGAAAGCGGUGGAGACAUUACAAGAACCUACUUCUAGAUGCUUUUACAGUUCAAAACCUGUUGGAUGGAAGUUUCCAAGUUCUCCAACCGUGGUAAAGCCAUCUUAACGAAAGUGAUUAACGGCAUCAGGGCCUUAAAUACAGCUUAAGCUGAUUUAGUUCUGAGCAAUCAUGUUGAGUUACAAGCCACAGCAGGAAUGCUAGCAACAAUUGUGUCACGGGACACAGCUUAAUUAAGAAAGAUUGUUGCCAGCGUCACUGUCAGUACCAUAGCUC